rnacentral:rRNA from 1 species
GCGUUGUUCGGAUUUACUGGGCGUAAAGGGCGCGUAGGCGGUCAGCACAAGUCAGUUGUGAAAUCUCCGGGCUUAACUCGGAAAGGUCAACUGAUACUGUGCGACUAGAGUGCGGAAGGGGCAACUGGAAUUCUCGGUGUAGCGGUGAAAUGCGUAGAUAUCGAGAGGAACACCUGCGGCGAAGGCGGGUUGCUGGGCCGACACUGACGCUGAUGCGCGAAAGCCAGGGGAGCGAACGGG